rnacentral:misc_RNA from 1 species
AAGUCGUAACAAGGUUUCCGUAGGUGAACCUACGGAAGGAUCAUUAACAUUAUUAUUCUUUUACUUUGAGUUGUUGGUUUUUUUGAUUAAUUUCUUAGUCAAUUAACCCUUCUCAUUCUAACCCCAAACUAUGUGCACUGUGUUGUGCUUUUGUUGUAACGAAAGCACUUCUUUUUUUACUUCUAUUCAAAUAUAAACCCCUUUUAUUACUACUUCUAGACUGACUUUAAACAACUUGAUUCGUACACUUCAUACUGUACGAUGACCAAUCAUAAUACAACUCUUAGCAACGGAUAUCUAGGCUCUC